rnacentral:rRNA from 1 species
CGGAGGGUGCAAGCGUUAUCCGGAAUCAUUGGGUUUAAAGGGUCCGCAGGCGGAUUUAUAAGUCAGUGGUGAAAGCCUAUAGCUCAACUAUAGAACUGCCAUUGAUACUGUAAGUCUUGAAUUCGGUCGAAGUGGGCGGAAUAUGACAUGUAGCGGUGAAAUGCUUAGAUAUGUCAUAGAACACCGAUAGCGAAGGCAGCUCACUAGGCCUGGAUUGACGCUCAGGGACGAAAGCGUGGGGAGCAAACAGGAUU